UACAACAGAGUACAGAGCGAGACCCUGUCUGUGGCUCUACACAUACCUGAAGUUACUGACAGGUGAUAAGGGUACAGUUUUGGCUCUCAACUCUCAAUUUUGUACCAGCAGCUGAUACAAAAAAGGGAACAUGUUCCAGUCUCAGUUAGCAUCCAUAAGGCAAAACCCGCACCACUUCUCAGGAAAAGCAGAGCUACUUCUGAUUCUGAAGUCAGGUGGACAAUUGCCUCUGGGGAUCUCCCAAAGAGACACACAAUGUACAAAAAUUGAACAACAUGAUCCACAAUAUCUUUUCUAUUUAAAGCAAUGAAUGAUAGAAUAUCUCAAUAAGCCAAACUAUUUUCAACUUGUUACUUAUGAAGUAACUAAGGUUCAGAGAUGUAAAACAAUUUGCUCAGGGUUAACCAGCAAAUCAGUAGAAGAGCUGUG
rnacentral:lncRNA from 1 species